rnacentral:lncRNA from 1 species
UAAACGGGAUGGGUGUGCACUAGGCUGAGGGACUGAAAUGGUUGGAACAUUAAGUACUUUGUCCUUGGAUGAUCCGUCCCUGGGUGCUGUCCAGGGGGUCCCAGCUUAUGGUCUCUCCUGGAGUCAGAUGUUGCCCCAGGGUAAACUGAAACUUCAGGCCUACUUUAUGGUUGGUCUCCACUGAGCCUUGGCAUGGCAGCAGUGCAGCUAAGAAGCAGGAGCCACCUCCUCUCAGCAUGCAGUGCAGUCACCAGCACGAAAUGUAUCCACAUGCUCCUCCUCCCACCAUAAGGGUCUUUGGCUCAUGGCCAGAGCCAAGGCCUCCAAAGAGGAACUCAGCCCCUCGCAGACUGACAGUUGUGGAAGUGUUUCUCAAGGCAAUAGAAUGGCAAUCGAGGACAAAUGGGACAGCAGGGGAACAGCCGGUGCAAAUGCAUGUAAGUGGGGAAACUGGGGAGUCUAAAGAAAGCCCACAGCCUAGUUAGCCUGGCCUCUGAUGCUGGUUUCUUAGUUUCUGCAGAUGGUGACAUCCUGGGCAGGGGAAGUGAGCAUCCCCCAGCCACCACCGCCUCUUCUGUCUGUACAAAAUGACUUUGGUAUAAAAGGUUGAGUUGGGUAGCAGCCUUGCCAGUAGUAUAGUCUCUCUCUCUCUCUCUCUCUCUCUCUCUCUCUCUCUCUCUCUCUCUCUCUCUCUCUCAUCUCCCUCCCCCCUCCCUUCCUCUCUGCCUCCUUCCUACAUUGGAAAUGCCUGGUUACAGUGUUCAAGUGCAGCAGCAAAGGGCACUGAGUGACUUAAUGGGUGUAACUUUGGAUUCUCUCAUGUUAUUUCUUUUACUGAGGUACAGGGCAUGAAACCCAGUGCCUUAUAUGGUACUGCUCUGCCACUGAGCCACACCCCAGCCCCUCACUGGGGGAUUCUAGACAGGUGCUCUGCCACUGAGCCACACCCCAGCCCCUCACUGGGGGAUUCUAGACAGGUGCUCUGCCACUGAGCCAUGUCCCAGCUCUCUUUCUACUGCUUUGGUGUUGCACUUUGAUACAGGGUCACACUAUGCAGCCCUGGCUUUCCUCGAAACACCUGUAGAUCAAACUCACCUUGAAUUCUUGAGCAGUCAUUGUCUAGGCAUGUGUCACAAUUCUCAGCAUUGUUUGUUUGUUUUGUUUUGUUUUUACAUUUUAAUUUUCAGACAGGGUCUUACAAUAAAUUGUUU